UGGGGAAUAUUGCACAAUGGGCGCAAGCCUGAUGCAGCGACGCCGCGUGAGGGAUGACGGCCUUCGGGUUGUAAACCUCUUUCGCCAGGGACGAAGCGCAAGUGACGGUACCUGGAGAAGAAGGACCGGCCAACUACGUG
rnacentral:rRNA from 2 species